CCCUUUGAAGUUCUGGGCUGCACGCGCGCGACACUGAUGCGCUCAAGGAGUUUACGACCUUGCCUGGAAAGGUUGGGUAAUCUUCUUAAAAAACAUCGUGAUGGAGCUAGAUUAUUGCAACUAUUAAUCUUCAACGAGGAAUUCCUAGUAAGCGCGAGUCAUCAGCUCGUGCUGAUUACGUCCCUGCCCUUUGUACACACCGCCCGUCGCUCCUACCGAUUGCGUGCUACUGAAUAAUUCGGACUGCAGCAACGUUCGGUUCCUGAAUGUCGCAGUGGAAAGUUUAGUGAACCUUAUCACUUAGAGAAAAAAAAAGUCGUAACA
rnacentral:rRNA from 1 species